UACGGAGGAUCCAAGCGUUGUCCGGAUUUAUUGGGUUUAAAGGGUGCGUAGGCGGGAUAUUAUGUCAGUGGUGAAAGCCUGCAGCUUAACUGUAGAAUUGCCAUUGAAACUGAUAUUCUUGAGUUCGGUUGAGGUGGAUGGAAUAUAUCAUGUAGCGGUGAAAUGCUUAGAUAUGAUAUAGAACACCGAUUGCGAAGGCAGUCCACUAAGCCGUUACUGACGCUGAGGCACGAAAGCAUGGGUAUCGAACAGG
rnacentral:misc_RNA from 1 species